rnacentral:rRNA from 1 species
CCCGCUGAACUUAAGCAUAUCAAUAAGCGGAGGAAAAGAAACUAACAAGGAUUCCCCUAGUAACUGCGAGUGAAGCGGGAAAAGCUCAAAUUUAAAAUCUGGCGGUCUUUCGGCCGUCCGAGUUGUAAUCUGGAGAAGCGUUUAUCCGCGUUGGACCGUGUACAAGUCUUCUGGAAGGGAGCGUCAUAGAGGGUGAGAAUCCCGUCUUUGACACGGACUACCAAAUGCUUUUGUGAUGCGCUCUCGAAGAGUCGAGAUGUUUGGGAAUGCAGCUCAAAAUGGGUGGUAAAUUCCAUCUAAAGCUAAAUAUUGGCGAGAGACCGAUAGCGAACGAGUACUGUGAGGGAAAGAUGAAAAGCACUAUGAAAAGAGAGUUAAACAGAUCGUGAGCUUGUUGAAAGGAAAGCGUUUGAAUUCAGUCGAGUCGGCCAAGACUCACCCUUGCUUCCACUCUGUGCACUUCUCGGUCGACGGGUCAGCAUCAAUGUGCACUGGCGUAUAAAGGUUGAGGGAUCGGUACAUCUUUGGAGAUGUGUUAUAGCCCGACGAUUGGCAUACGGCGAUUGGGAUUGAGGAACUCAGCGCACCUUUAUGGUCGGGGUAGCAACCCACGUACCGCGCUCGAGAUGCUGGCAAAAUGGCUUUAAGAGACGCCUCUUGAAACGCAGAAGGGAGAAUUCGUUUACCCGCCACGGGCU